rnacentral:rRNA from 1 species
ACCUACGGGAGGCAGCAGUGAGGAAUAUUGGUCAAUGGGCGCGAGCCUGAACCAGCCAAGUCGCGUGAGGGAGGACGGCCCUACGGGUUGUAAACCUCUUUUGCCGGGGAGCAACGGGCGUCACGUGUGGCGCCACUGAGAGUACCCGGAGAAAAAGCAUCGGCUAACUCCGUGCCAGCAGCCGCGGUAAUACGGAGGAUGCGAGCGUUAUCCGGAUUUAUUGGGUUUAAAGGGUGCGUAGGCGGAUCGUUAGGUCAGUGGUCAAAUUGAGGGGUUCAACGCCUUCCCGCCAUUGAAACUGGCGU